rnacentral:rRNA from 1 species
GAUGAACGCUGGCGGCGUGCCUAAUACAUGCAAGUCGAGCGAACAGACGAGGAGCUUGCUCCUCUAACGUUAGCGGCGGACGGGUGAGUAACACGUGGAUAACCUACCUAUAAGACUGGGAUAACUUCGGGAAACCGGAGCUAAUACCGGAUAAUAUAUUGAACCGCAUGGUUCAAUAGUGAAAGACGGUUUUGCUGUCACUUAUAGAUGGAUCCGCGCCGCAUUAGCUAGUUGGUAAGGUAACAGCUUACCAAGGCAACGAUGCGUAGCCGACCUGAGAGAGUGAUCGGCCACACUGGAACUGAGACACGGUCCAGACUCCUACGGGAGGCAGCAGUAGGGAAUCUUCCGCAAUGGGCGAAAGCCUGACGGAGCAACGCCGCGUGAGUGAUGAAGGUCUUCGGAUCGUAAAACUCUGUUAUUAGGGAAGAACAAAUGUGUAAGUAACUAUGCACGUCUUGACGGUACCUAAUCAGAAAGCCACGGCUAACUACGUG